UCUAAGCACAUGCCUUAAUACGGUGAAGCCGCGAAUAGCUCAUUACAACAGCCACCGUUUACUAGAAUAUAGUUAUCCUACUUGGAUAACUGUGGCAAUUCUAGAGCUAAUACAUGCAAAAAAGCUCCGCCCGCAAGGAACGAGCGCAUUUAUUAGAAUAAAAACCAAUCGGGUUUCGGCCCGUAAUUUGGUGAAUCUGAAUAACUUUGCCAAUCGCACAGUCCUAGUACUGGCGAUGUAUCUUUCAAGUGUCUGCCUUAUCAACUUUCGAUGGUAGGUUAUACGCCUACCAUGGUAGUAACGGGUAACGGAGAAUAAGGGUUCGACUCCGGAGAGGGAGCCUGAGAAACGGCUACCACAUCCAAGGAAGGCAGCAGGCGCGCAAAUUACCCACUUCCAGAACGGAGAGGUAGUGACGAAAAAUAACGAGACAGUCCUCUUCGAGGUCUGUCAUCGGAAUGGGUACAAUUUAAAUCCUUUAACGAGGAUCUAUUUGAGGGCAAGUCUGGUGCCAG
rnacentral:rRNA from 1 species